rnacentral:rRNA from 1 species
UACGUAGGGUGCGAGCGUUAAUCGGAAUUACUGGGCGUAAAGUGUGCGCAGGCGGCGUUGCAAGUCGAGUGUGAAAUCCCCGAGCUUAACUUGGGAAUUGCGCUCGAAACUACGAUGCUCGAGUGUGGCAGAGGAAGGUGGAAUUCCACGUGUAGCGGUGAAAUGCGUAGAGAUGUGGAGAACACCGAUAGCGAAGGCAGCUCACAAAGUUACAACUGACGCUGAUGCACGAAAGCGUGGGGAUCAAACAGG